rnacentral:tRNA from 1 species
GAGGGUAUAGCUCAGUGGUAGAGCAUGUGCUUAGCAUGCACAAGGUCCUGGGUUCAAUCCCCAGGAUUUCCA